rnacentral:tRNA from 1 species
GGGGGCAUGGCGGAAUCGGUAGACGCACGCGACUUAAAAUCGUUUGGGCCGAAAGGCCUGUGGGGGUUCAAGUCCCCCUGCCCCCACCA